GUAAGGAAUAUUGGACAAUGGACGCAAGUCUGAUCCAGCCAUGCCGCGUGAAGGAUUAAGGUCCUCUGGAUUGUAAACUUCUUUUAUAAGGGACGAAAAAAGGCUUUUCUAAGUCGUCUGACGGUACCUUAUGAAUAAGCACCGGCUAACUCCGUGCCAGCAGCCGCGGUAAUACGGAGGGUGCAAGCGUUAUCCGGAUUCACUGGGUUUAAAGGGUGCGUAGGCGGGUUGAUAAGUCAGUGGUGAAAUCCUAGAGCUUAACUCUAGAACUGCCAUUGAUACUAUCUGUCUUGAAUAUUGUGGAGGUAAGCGGAAUAUGUCAUGUAGCGGUGAAAUGCUUAGAUAUGACAUAGAACACCUAUUGCGAAGGCAGCUUACUACGCAUAUAUUGACGCUGAGGCACGAAAGCGUGGGGAUCAAACAGGAUUAGAUACCCGAGUAGUCC
rnacentral:rRNA from 1 species